CAGCUAGCAUUUACAUGCAAGACGUUUGGUUAUGAUGGAGAUCACUCGAUUUGACUCAUGUAUUUAGGAAGUGUAAAGUCGAGGGAAAUUCUAGAGCACCAAUACAGACACCGGCAACCUUGAUGUUCAUGGAUUGUUACAAAGUAAAGUGUGAGGGAGAAUUUAGAGUCAAAGGCACAAUUAAUUCUAAAGCCAAUAUGAUUGGAUACUUCGAUGAACGUCCAGCAUAAGCAUUUCUGCUUUGGUGAUAAUUUAAGUAAGUUCUGAUAGAUUGUUUUCAGCAAAUCAUGAUUUCACCUACUAAAAAGUUGAAAAUUAGGUUUGUGGUAAUAGAAUAUAAAUCUUUU